rnacentral:rRNA from 1 species
AAUAUUGGACAAUGGGGGCAACCCUGAUCCAGCCAUGCCGCGUGUGUGAAGAAGGCCUUCGGGUUGUAAAGCACUUUCGGCCGGAACGAAAUCGCGCGGGUGAAUAUCCCGCGUGGAUGACGGUACCGGAAGAAGAAGCACCGGCUAACUACGUGCCAGCAGCCGCGGUAAUACGUAGGGGGCAAGCGUUGUCCGGAUUUAUUGGGCGUAAAGCGCUCGCAGGUGGUCCGUCGCGUCGUGCGUGAAAGGCCCCGGCUCAACUGGGGAGGGUCGUGCGAUACGGGCGGACUGGAGGCCAGUAGGGGGAUGCGGAAUUCCGGGUGUAGUGGUGGAAUGCGUAGAGAUCCGGAGGAACACCAGCGGCGAAGGCGGCAUCCUGGACUGGUCCUGACACUCAGGAGCGAAAGCGUGGGGAGCGAUC